CCUACGGGUGGCAGCAGUGGGGGAUAUUGCACAAUGGGGGGAACCCUGAUGCAGCGACGCCGCGUGGGUGAAGGAGCGUUUCGGCGCGUAAAGCCCUAUCGGCAGGGACGAAGAUGACGGUACCUGACCAAGAAGCCCCGGGUUAAUACGUGCCAGCAGCCGCGGUAAUACGUCGGGGGCACGCGUUAUCCGGGUUGACUGGGUGUGAAGGGGGUGCCGGCGGCAGUGCAAGCCAGGAGGGAAAGCCCGGGGCCCAACCCCGGGACUGCUCUUGGCACUGCAUGGAUGGAGUACAGGAGGGGCAAGCGGAAUGCGUAGUGUAGCGGUGAAAUGCGUAGAUAUUAGGAGGAACGCCGGUGGCGAAGGCGGCCUGCUGGACUGUGACUGACGUUGAGGCCCGAAGGCGUGGGGAGCAAACAGGAUUAGAUACCCGUGUAGUC
rnacentral:rRNA from 1 species